AAUAGAUACCCUGGUAGUCCACGCCGUAAACGAUGAGUGCUAAGUGUUAGAGGGUUUCCGCCCUUUAGUGCUGCAGCUAACGCAUUAAGCACUCCGCCUGGGGAGUACGGCCGCAAGGCUGAAACUCAAAGGAAUUGACGGGGGCCCGCACAAGCGGUGGAGCAUGUGGUUUAAUUCGAAGCAACGCGAAGAACCUUACCAGGUCUUGACAUCCUCUGCCAACCCUAGAGAUAGGGCGUUCCCCUUCGGGGGACAGAGUGACAGGUGGUGCAUGGUUGUCGUCAGCUCGUGUCGUGAGAUGUUGGGUUAAGUCCCGCAACGAGCGCAACCCUUGAUCUUAGUUGCCAGCAUUCAGUUGGGCACUCUAAGGUGACUGCCGGUGACAAACCGGAGGAAGGUGGGGAUGACGUCAAAUCAUCAUGCCCCUUAUGACCUGGGCUACACACGUGCUACAAUGGAUGGUACAAAGAGCUGCGAACCCGCGAGGGUAAGCGAAUCUCAUAAAGCCAUUCUCAGUUCGGAUUGUAGGUUG
rnacentral:rRNA from 1 species